rnacentral:lncRNA from 1 species
AGAAGGCUGGGGUAGCCUAGCACUCCAUCCCUCUUUAGAAUAAGAAGAGCCUUUAGUUGGGCACAGCUGGAGUGAGUGGUGAGUAGGGGGAGGUUCCUGCCCCAGGCCGCUUUGUUCUACAGAUCUUCACAGAAAGCUCUGGGCUGACUGAGACCUGGGGCCAGAGAGAGAUGUGAGAAAGGGUGGAGGGUAGUGAGAACACCAAAGAAUGUCCCCAAGCUCAGGCUGGAGUGGAGUGAGAAGAUGGAAGAUCUCAGACAGGAAGCGAGCCCACCAAAGAGCCCAUCUUAUUAUGAGCAGCGGCUGGACUCCCCAGGAGCAGGGUGGAGGGGAAUCCUGGCCUUUACUCUCAGCAAUACCCCUGGUUUAAGGAUUGUUGUGCCCAGAUUGUGAAGUCCCAAAGACCACCAGGAGGCCAUUUCCGAUGGAUCAAACUCGGGACCUUGCACUUGCAAGGCAGGUGGCGGCACCACUGAACUAAAUCCCUGGCCUCUGAAUUGUACAUUUUAAAUGAACUAAUAUGGCAGGUGAAUUAUAUAUUCUGCCUAAUAUCUCAAUAAAGCUGC